GAUGAACGCUGGCGGCGUGCUUAACACAUGCAAGUCGAACGGUGAAAGAGAGCUUGCUCUCUGGAUCAGUGGCGAACGGGUGAGUAACACGUGAGCAAUCUGCCCCUGACUCUGGGAUAACAGCUGGAAACAGCUGCUAAUACCGGAUACGAGCUGCGAAGGCAUCUUCAGCAGCUGGAAAGAAUUUCGGUCAGGGAUGAGCUCGCGGCCUAUCAGCUUGUUGGUGAGGUAACGGCUCACCAAGGUGUCGACGGGUAGCCGGCCUGAGAGGGUGACCGGCCACACUGGGACUGAGACACGGCCCAGACUCCUACGGGAGGCAGCAGUGGGGAAUAUUGCACAAUGGGCGCAAGCCUGAUGCAGCAACGCCGCGUGAGGGACGACGGCCUUCGGGUUGUAAACCUCUUUUAGCAGGGAAGAAGCGAAAGUGACGGUACCUGCAGAAAAAGCACCGGCUAACUCUGUGCCAGCAGCCGCCGUAA
rnacentral:rRNA from 1 species